AUGAAAACCGCUGCCAGGGGGCACCUGAACUCCGCGGCUCGAGGUCCCUUCGCUGCCCCGCGCACCUCUCCCCCUGCCCGGCGCGCUCGCUCGCUCCCUCUUCCGAAGCCCGACGAGUCCUCAACAAGUUGGAGGAAGGCAGGAGCGCAGGGGUUAAGCUCGGGCAGGCGCAAUUACCAAGAUCGUGACCCUCCCACACAGUACAGUAACUUAUAUACUUACCUGGAAGGGCCCGCUCGCCGCUGGGCAAACACCCGCGGGGGAGGGAGGGCGGCGGGGAGCGGCCCGGCGGGAGCGGGCUCCUUCCAGCUGGCUGCGGCGCGGCGCGGACGGGACCGGCGCGCUCGCUGGGCUCCGGGACCCAGGUGGUCAACUUGUCCUGUACCCAGAGGUCGCGGAAGGGGUGGCCAUCCCCAGAGGUCACAGAAGCUGAAGAGCCUGGACCAAUGAGCUCAGCAGUCCCAGGUGGUCUAUGAAAUGAAAGUGGAUAUGUUUUUCUGAGAGUUGUGGAUCCAUGAAUCAGCUACUAACAAGCAGUGAUGUGUCAGCAGCUUGCUAAAUAUCUUAGUCUCUGUCUUGUCUUCUGUGCAUUGUGGACCAUAAUAAUUGCCUAUCCAUAUAAAACUCACUGUUCUGAGAUCUAACAACAGAGACUGUAAAACACUGCAAAUAUAAGGAGUUUAUUACCAUGAGUAAUAAUCACACACUUUUCUAUAGAAACUAUUCUGGAGUAUGUAAAAAUGGACAUGUGUCCUUUGGAGACUGUGCUUGAUAAUACAACAAAGAACGUAGAUAAUCUUAGUGGUAGUAUGGUGAAUGCAGCUGAUCUAAUGGCCAAAGAGCCUUCGGUAUCUAAGUGAGGAUACCUGGCAACACUGAGCAAAGGACUCUGAUGCUAGAACAUCCAACAGGACAUAAGUGGGAAAGACCCUCUGUUAUAUCCACUUCCCAUCACUACAACAAAGUAUCUGAGAUAAUUAAUUUAUGAAAGGUUUAUUUAGAUCACAAUUUUGGAAGUUGCUGUCCAGGAUUGGCUGACCCAUUGCUUUGGGCCUCUGGUGGCCAUGCCAGAUGGCAAUGAUGCAUAGUAUGUGGAACCAAAAAUCACUACUCUCAUGGCCAAGAAGCAAAAAAGAAACAAGAAGAGGCUGGGAUCCCACAGUCUCCUUCAAGGGCAAGUGUCCAACAAUCUAAGGCCCUCCCAUAAGAUGUCCUGUCCCCAUGUGUGGCCCACAGCAUCUCCCAGUAGUGCCACCGCAGCAAUCCUUAGGAGCCACUCAACAUCAAAACACCAGCUCCCUCCAAGGUCAUUGAUCUCUGCCUCUGAUUGGGUCACUUCCAGAGAUAUUCAGGAUGGAAGCACCCAUUGUAUUUUUAAGUAUCUCCAUUAAGGAAGCUCUCCUGAAAGGAGUAGUAUUUAAUCAGUUAAGUCUACAUAGUGAAGAAGAUCUUCCGGAUGGCUGGCUAUGCCCAUUAUUGCAAAAUUUCUGCAGACCAAGUGCUUGGAAGAUAUAGGGGUUACAUCCUGAUGGGAUCUGACUCUGGGCACUUCACUCUCAAAGCAGCCCAACUAUGCUAUUCUAUGGGUUGCAGUCAUGGCCAUGGCCAAGGAGGCCAUUUUGUGGAAAUGGUGUCAGUGAUCACCAUAUGACUAUAGCUGACGAGCAUCAGGAGGAUUUUUUUUUCAAUAAACAAUCAUCCUACUCUUGUCUAUGUGGUCCAUUAAGGUUUCAUAAGAUACUUUCUCAAACAUCAGAGUAGUUGGCUCAAUUUUCACUGUCUCUGCUUUGAAUAUAAGGAAACUGAUACUUGAAGAGCUUAAAUCAAAUCACGGCAUUCGCCAGCAAUGAAGGAUUAGAAGUCAGGACCCAUAUUCAGGACUUCUGUCUUGAAGCCAGAGCACCAAACAAGGGUCCCUAGGGACAUUUCCCAUACUCCCAUUGGUUCUUCAGCCAAUCUAGAAUAGCCAGUGUUCCAUGUGAAAAGGAGAAGUCAAACUGGAAUCACCAGAGCCUUCCAGUUUGAGGCCAAGUAAGUAAUACACAUUCUUGUCUGAGCCUCUUCUAGGGAAUUACAUGCAUCCAUGUUACAUUAGCUUCUUCAGGCCUGGCUUCCUGUAUCUGCGAAAUAGCAACUACAAUACUCCCUACAUCCAAUGAUUGUGGUGGAAGUUAAGUGAAUUAAUAUAUAUAAAAUGCUUAGGUCAGAUAAGAGUAAGCACUUUUAAUGCACGGUAUAUAUUAUGUCAGUUAUUAUUGUUUUGAGACCUUUGCUUCAUUAUAAAAAUGUCCUGGGUGGGAUAGUGUAUCCUAAAUUGUCUUGCUUCCUUUGUGAGUUUUAAACUAUGAGAGUACAGGGGUUCAUAGAAGGGAGUGCAGAGGAAGGAUGAUGGAUGGGCUGGCUCUGGUGUCCAUGUGGUGUGGGUAUAUGGGUGUGUGUGUGUGUGUGUGUGUGUGUGUGUGUGUGUGUAUAUCAUGUAGCACCACCUGGUAUAAAAGUCCAGAGAACGAUGAAACCUAAAAGUCUCCAAAAAGAGAAAAUAGGGCCGGGGAUGUAGCUCAGUGGUGUCACUGCCUGCCUUGCAAGCACAAGGUCCCGAGUUCAAUCCCCGGUACCAAAAAAAAAAAAAAUCCCCCAAAAAGAGAAAAUAGAUGCCAGAGAUUGUCCAAGAAAGCUCAAACCCUUAACUCAUGAAAGCCUUUCUGCUCUGAUUCAGAAUUCACAUGCUUUUAUUUUUCCCCUAAUAUUUUUUCUUUAACAAACACUCAUUAUUAAUAUAUACCAGGUAUUGGUC
rnacentral:lncRNA from 1 species